UCGGUUACGGAUGCGUUGAAAACGGACAUGUGUUGACCAAAUUUAACAAUAUGCGGACAAUGGAUCGACUUCUUGAAGCCUGUGGACGUGAUACACCUUCUCCAUCACCAUCAAGAGAUCAACAUUUUCGAAGACACUUGCGUACGGCUGCAGUGUCCGGCGCAAUGCUGAAUGCGACCUGUUAUCUGUUGGAUCUACUCUGUGAGCCCGAACCCCAGUGCAAUGGCACUGUUCGACUACAGCGCUGGACGUCGUCUACUUUUUGCUAGAGGGAAAGGUCAUCAUCCGUCCAUGAACUUCGGGCUGCUCACAGCUAUAUUGCCU